rnacentral:miRNA from 1 species
GGCUUCAUUGACCGGAAGGUAUUCCUUCCGGUCAAUGAGGCUGUUCCACCUCAUCAAUCAGAAGGAAUUCCUUCCAGUCAAUGGGGUU